AUUGAACGCUGGCGGCAGGCCUAACACAUGCAAGUCGAGCGGCAGCGGAAAGUAGCUUGCUACUUUGCCGGCGAGCGGCGGACGGGUGAGUAAUGUCUGGGAAACUGCCUGAUGGAGGGGGAUAACUACUGGAAACGGUAGCUAAUACCGCAUGACCUCGAAAGAGCAAAGUGGGGGAUCUUCGGACCUCACGCCAUCGGAUGUGCCCAGAUGGGAUUAGCUAGUAGGUGAGGUAAUGGCUCACCUAGGCGACGAUCCCUAGCUGGUCUGAGAGGAUGACCAGCCACACUGGAACUGAGACACGGUCCAG
rnacentral:rRNA from 1 species